CCGUUCUUAAAUGUAAACGAUUUUAAAAGUUAUCAAAGGAAAUCUUGAUAGAAAAGCAAAGACGUCGCGCGACGAAACAUCAUAGAAAGGCACUUGCUUAUGAACUAUGAGUUUCUUUAAGAAAACUUGCAUUUAAUAUGCUUUUAGAUAAUUAUGUGAAUUGAAUCAUCUUAGUAACAUAAAAAAAAAUCAAACGAGAAUUCGUAAGUAACGGUGAGUGAAAACGAACUUUAGCUAAGUGUUGAAAUCCAAAGAAGGUAGUUAAGUCCUUUAUAACACUAAUAACAACAAAAAGUAGUAUGAUUAAUUUUUGUACGAAAAAAGGAGUACCAUCUUCUAAGCUAGAAACUUUUCUAAUCGAUAGUGAACGAGUACCGUGAGGGAAAGAUUUGAAUUUGUUAAUUUAUAUUUAUUUGAAGCUGAUAAAUACAGCAACAAAGUGCCUUUUGCAUAAUGAGUCAGUAAGUUAAUAUGUGUAGCAAGCUUAAUAGCACAAAGGCGUUAAAAGUUACAUAUAUUAGACCCGAAGCCAAGUGAUCUAUUCUUAAGCAAGUUGAAGGUGUUUUAAAACAUACUGGAGGACUGAACCCACGUCUGUUGAAAAAUACGGGGAUGACUUAAGAUUAGGGGUGAAAGUCCAAUCAAACUUGGUGAUAGCUGGUUUUCCGCGAAAACUAUCAAAGUAGUACGUUGCUUUUUAAAAAUGUGGGUAGAGCUACUUAUUAAAUUUAGAUUUUGCUAGAUUUUAUUAAACUCCAAAUUAUAUUUUUUUCAGCAGCAGACAGUCGUUGGGCGAUAAGGUCUUACGUCAAAAGGGAAACAACCCUAACCGAUGGCUAAGAUCUCAAAAUUAUAAAUUAGUGAAAAAAUGAAGAAUAACACGAAUAAACGGAGUAGGCUUAGAAGCAGCCAUCUAUUGGAGAAAGCGUUUUAGCUCAUUAUUUUUAUUUAUUUCAUUCAUUUAAAAUGUAAGGAGACUUAAAUUUAUAUAUCGAAGCCUCGGAUCAAGCUAAAAUUAGCUUAAUGGUAGCGGAACGUCCUGUAGUCUUUUAUGUUAAUGGUAAAUUGCAUAUUUAAAAUCAGGAGUGCUAAUGCUGACAUGAGUAGCGUUAACCAUGUUGAAAAAAAAUCAUGGUCGUCUAUUGUUCAAGGGUUCCCAGUAAAUUUUAAGUAACUGGAUUUAGUCGGCCCUUAAGAAAAAAGUGAAUACUGUAUUCGAUAGGAAAAAUUUACCAUAUGUUUGCAAAAUACGUAAGUAUUUGUGUAAAAAAAUAAUUUUAACGGUUAUGUCCAAUAAACUGACGACUUUAAAAGUUAUUUUUCAGGAAAAUCUACAUGAAGUUUGACCGUACCUAAAACCGACACAGGUGAACUUAUUGCGAAGAUAAAGACGAAUGAGAUAACUAUACUUAAGGAACUCGGCAAAUUUACUCCGUACGUUCGCAAAAAGGAGUACCUUUUAAGGUUUCAAAAAAUAGGGGUAGCGACUGUUUAACAAAAAAAUCUUAAAACUUUGCAAAUUCGUAAGAAGACGUAUAAGGUUUGACGCCUGCCCAGUGCUUGAAAGUGAAAAAUAUGUGUUUACGCAUAUAUUAUAAACCCAAGUAAACGGCGGUCUUAACUAUAAGGAUCCUCAGGUAGCGAAAUUCCUUGGCGGGUAAAUUCCGUCCUGCAUGAAUGGCGUCACGACUACCCCACUGUCUUUAGUAUAGUCUCAGCGAAAUUACAUUGUCUGUGAAAAUGCAGACAUCCUACAACAAGACGGAAAGACCCUAUGAUUCUUAACUAUAAUUUUACGUCGCAAUAAUUUUAUUCACAGUACAGUAAAAGUAGGAACAUAUUUGUGCAUUUUUGAAAAACUACUUUGUGCAUAAAAAAUUGCUUACUAAACAGGAAAUAUGUAAAACUGGUAGUUUACUUGGGACGAGGACCUCCUAGAUUGUAACGGAGGUGCACAAAAGUGAAUUUUAAUUAGCAAUUUAUGCUAUUAUAAUACGUAAUGGUAAAAGUUUGCUUGACGGUAAGAGCUACAACUCAAACCGGGACGAGAGUCGGUCAUAAUGAUCCGGCAGUAAUGUAUGGAAAUACUGUCGCUUAUCGGAAAAAAGAAACUCUAGGGAUAACAGAUUUAUCAUGGUUGAGAGUUCUUAUCGAUGCCAUGGUUUGAUACCUCGAUGUCGGGCCUAUCUGUUGUGGGGAAGAAAAAAAAUAGGUCUAUCUUUAGUACGAGAGGAUUGAGAUAUAUUAACCAAUAGUGCAUCGGUUGUAUUGUUUUUUGCAUUGCCGAGUAGCCACGUUAACAUUAUAUAAGUGCUGACAGCUUAAAAGCAUAAAACUAACCUUUGUUUUUUCCAGAACAUUCUAGAAGACCACUAGAUAUAUCGGUCUAUUAUUCAAUACUUGUAAAAGUAAGUAAAUAGAUACGAAUUGUUCAUAAUAAUUUAUUUUAUAUUUAAGAACGGGCUUGCCCGUUCUUAGGUG
rnacentral:rRNA from 1 species